CUCAUUGGAGCUUGUACUAAGAUUGUCUAAGAAUCAGUUAUGCUUGUUAUCCUUUACAUAAUUAAAUUAAUUACUUAUCUUCAACAUUAGUGCAACAUUAGUGAGAAAUUUUACUCAGAGGACAUCUAUACCUUCCUUUAUCCCCCCCUUCUAAAAAAAACAAGAAGGAAGAAGUAUCGAGAGCGUGGAUUGCUUGUUUCAACCAAAAAAAUUGGCUUAUUGGCUCAAGUAAGUAAAUAGGGAAAAAUGUAACGUUUAAAAUUUGUACGUAUGUAUGUGUACGCAAAUAUGGGUGGAGAUUUGAAACUCCGACCUCAAGGAUGGGAAGUGGUACCUAAACCAGUGAACUCGUAUGCUGGCUAAAACUUGUAGAAUUGACCUUCGUCACGUCAUUUGUCAAAACUUGGAUAUAGCAUAUAAUUAUUCAAUAAUCAUUCCCUUCUGACUAAUUGGAUGUCAGUACUGUUACCCACUUCUUAGUUUUUAUGUACUUGUGGAAAUGCUAAGAUUUUCUCUUUUGUUUUCUCUUUUAAUAUAAUCAUUUACUUCAGUCGACUAAGGAAUAUUGCUGUCGUAUACCUCUUCCCUUCAUAAGUGUUGCCUUAAAUGUGAGAAGCCUCACCAUUCAAAUAAGAAAUUGGAAGAACAUAAUUUCUCCAAACUGUCUGCACCAUCCAUCCAUACGCAGCUGGAGUGCAAUUUAUAUUGAGAUCACGAUUGGUUCGGCUUUUCUUUAGUGUAAAGUUAGAUAUUUGUAUUUUAAAUAGAUCAUCCAUUUUGUGAAACAACUUUGCGGGUUGCCUGUGAAUCUGUGACUUGCUCUUCUCCUUGGAUAUGGGUUAGAUUGGUAGGGUCACAGGGUUAAAAGGUUGUUUUAUAAUGAUGCAUGGAGAUUUUUCUUUGCCUUUGGUUUGAACUGAUCUGUAGACUGUAGAAAGGGUUUUGAGUUCAAGGAGUUUGGAUUUGGCUUGUCUCAGCUUUUUAGUACAACUCAUUGUCCAAAUACUUCGACAAUUCAAGAGCCUUCUUGUGAUCUUCUUUUCGGUUAUGGUGGAUUUCUUAGCUUCCCCUCCCCUUUUGUCAAAGGGAUAAAUUGUUUUGUGCAUAAUGAUUCAGAACAGUGUUUUGGUUUUUUUUCCAAAUGAUCUAUUUUGGCUGUUAAGUUGCAUAUAUCAAUUUGAAAUCAAGCAUGAGUUAUAUGGUUAUUUCAUUUUUUUAAUCACAAUACAUUCAGUGGAACUAUGAUUACAAGUUUCAAUCAUCACAUGACCAGUUAUAUGGCUAGUUCAUAAACUAGUUUUAAGUUGAUUUCAGUAGAUCUAUGUAAACCAUGAUGUUAUUUGAUAUCCAUCUGGGUAGACUGUUGCCUAGUAUUCAUGUGUUGAAGCAAGGUAUUGAUUCCACAAUCCCAGAUGAUGGAAAAUUGCAAGUUUUUUGAGGUCAGUAAACGUAUUGUUGCGAAAGUUUCUUGACUUGUGGGUGGGAGGAUGCAUCAUUUUUUUAGUUGCUCUUGUUUUUGUUGAUGUCUUCAGCAUUGUUUUUGUGACCAUAAUAGUAGCAAAAGUAGUAUGUUGACUUCUUAAAAUUGUUUGGCAUCACAGAACCGUUUGAUCUGGGUAUAGUUAGAACAAUUGUAAUUGACAUUGUAGUUUCUAAAGAUUAUCCUUCCAUCUCGAAAACUUAACAUACUAUGUGUGUGCAGCAAGAACUUGUAUUAAUGAUGAAAGUCAAGAUGCAUUCUUUAACAAGAAUCGAAUUGGCUUAAUAUACUAUCGCUAACUAAUUUCUGUUUCCAGGUCAUGAUAUUGUUGCAACAUUUAAUGUUGAGAGAUCGGUGUCUUUGCUGGAAGACAAUUUUGAUCAACUCCGAACCGACAUUUUUGAAGAGUUCCCUAUACCUUCUAUCAAAGUAUGUACUCUUUUUCAUUCUCAUUGAUUGUGCACUCUAUAUGCUUAACACAUAUUGAUUCAAUGCUCUUUCAAAUCAGGUGAAUAUACUGUCUCUAGAACCGUUGUCUGGAUCAAACCGUACAAAAGUUGUUUUCAGCCUCGAUCCAGAUACUGAUGAUUCGGAAAUCUCGUCAACGUAUCUAAGUUUAAUCAGGUCAAUCAUUACAAGUCUAGUAACAAAUCAGUUCCUCAGCAUUACCAAAUCCACAUUCGGGGAGGCCUAUUCGUUUGAAGUGCUGAAAUUCCCCGGAGGAAUAACGAUAAUCCCGCCACAGAGUGCAUUUCUUUUGCAAAAAGUGCAAAUUCUUUUCAACUUUACAUUGAACUUCUCUAUUCAUCAGAUUCAAGUACAUUUCAGCGAACUGACCAGCCAACUGGAGGCGGGAUUAAGACUAGCUCCAUAUGAGGUUUUGUGUCUCUCUAUCUGCUCAUUUCAUUUUUGAUGCUUUGAUUUGAUUGGAUGAAUUUAGGUUUCCUAUGAAUAAUGUUUUUGUUUUUCAUUUUCUAACUUUAAAAAUAAGAUUGUUAGCAAUCAAGACCUUAAUUUGUCUCUCACGAGUAUACUAGCUACCAAAAUUGUUUUUAUUGUUUUUUUCUGUAAAAAGAAGUUGUAUUUCUUGAACUUAUUAUUAUUACUUUCUGAGUUUCAAUGGAGUUGUGCUUUGAUAUUUGAAUUACUUUGCACUUAUGUUGUAAAAUCUAGCAAAUGCUUGAGUUUGAUCUUUGGUGGUUAUUAGUUGUUUUGUGCUAAAUGCAGAUUUUAUAUAUUAAACUUUGGAAUGCGGAAGGUUCAACCGUGACAGAUCCUACAAUUGUCCAGACGUCUGUACUUCUUGAAGUUGGAAAUACUCCGUCGAUGCGACGGCUGAAGCAGCUAGCUCAAACAAUCUCAGGUUCUAAUUCUAGCAACCUCGGCCUGAAUAAUACGGAGUUUGGUAAGGUGAAACAAGUUCGCCUUUCUUCUAUUCUUAAACACUCCCUCAAUGGCAGUGAUGGGAAUGGCCCCGUAAGGUCACCUUCUCCUGCUCCUACACCCCAGCCCCAUAACCAACAUCAUCCUCCAACUCACCACCACCACCACCAUCACACCCCUCUAACCCCUGCAAUUUCACCUGCUCCUGCAACCGAGAAGGGUGCACCAGAAUAUGGUUCGCCUGCCCCUGAAAGAAAUGCAGCAUCACCUAAGAGAAGUUAUACGGCUAAGCCGCCUGGUUGUCAAUAUAGAUACAAGAGGAAGUCUGGUAGGAAAGAAGGAAAGCAAUCUCAUUUAACCCCGCUUGCGUCACCCAAUAUAUCUCCUGAUCAUUCUGCUGCAUCGCCAUCACCACAACAUCAAAUCAACCCACCAGCAGCACCCGUCUCACCAGCUCCGGCAUUAACUCCAUUGCCAAACGUCAUUUACGCUCAUGUUCAACCACCUUCCAAAAGCGACUCCAAUCACCCCGCAAAUCCAUCAAUUGCACCAUCUCCAUGUGAGUAACAAAUUGAUUCUGGUAGGAAACUAACUGAACAAUCUUUUAACUACAAAAGUCCCAUAUAUUUCAUUGAACAAUCCCAAACUCUCCAUUGUAGAAAACCUUUUCGAUUGACUCUUUGAUUUUGCAGCUGGCGCAGAUCGUUGUCAUAUGAUCACUCAAUGGGGAUUCACACUGUUUCUUAUUCUCGCAUGCCAUAUGUAACAUAAAAAAGAAGACUACCGGUUUUCUGAUGAACAUGUGUCGACGCGAGAAAUGCGAAGGUUAUUAUAAAAAUGAUAAGUGGAGGAGUUUCUUUAAAAGUGUAAGCAGAGUAGAGGAAAGCAAAGCAAAAGAGGCAUUGCUUGAUGAAAGAUGUUCUUUUUUAAGUGUGUAAAUGUAAAUAUCAUCUGAUUAAGAAACUUGUUGCUGAUGCAGUUUCAGGUCAAAGUUCACAGAGGUGGCAGGCCUUUAGAAACUUGCAUAUUUUCCCACUGUUUUUGUGUAUUAUUAUGAUCUUCUUCUCCAUAAAAUGUAAGGAGAUAGAGAAGGAAGAAAAAGUGAAAAAAAAAAAAAAAAAAGGAAGGAAAACAGAGCCAAAUGCAUAACUUUUUUCUUUUACCAUUGUGUCUUUUCCCAUAACUUUUUGUUCUGAACUCUGUUCUAGGCUUUUUGUACUCAAAAUGGCCUUACUCUUGUAUUGCUCAAAACUGAAGCUUGUAUGUAUAUAUAUGAACACAUAACACUUAAUCCCUCCACUUGAAUUGAAUGCAACAACUGUAGUAGUUUUCGGAUUGAGAUCAUUGUAUUUACAUGGUUGUAGGAUUUAGAAUUUGUUGAUCAAUAUCUGUAACACUGCAUUAGGGAUAAAAGAUGGUCAAAAUUGGUUUCAGAUAUGCUUUUCAAUUUGAUAUUGUUUUGAAGAAUAUAUUCUUUUGGUCAAUUUACUUCACUUAAAAUAUAUUUCCUUUAGAUGUAAGAAUGGUUACUGAUAAUUAAAUUAUUCCUUAAUAAAAUAUCAAUUUAUAUCCUAAUCUAAAUAACUCAUGUGCAAUCGAUUUUAUCAAUUUAUAUCUCUAAAUAAGUUAACUGUAAUCAAUAUGUUCCUGAUAUUUCAUGCCCACUGGCAUCAUCAGUUUUUAUUUUGAACUUUUUUUCAAUAAAUUCAAACAUAGUUUCUUUUUUGACACAAAUAUUAAAUUGAAAGUUAUUGUUAUUAUUCUUUUUAUAUAAUUUGUCUUGUAUUGGUCACUCUAUUUCAAAAUAAGCUUAAUUUUACAGUAAUUGAUAUGGUAGAUUUGUAUCCAUAUACAUACCAAACACCAUCCUUUUACGAAAAGCUUAAAUAAUAGAAUAUUAAAGAUAAUAAAAGGUUACAAGUCAAAUCACAAAACUUUCUAACAAAAAUAGAAUCUAAACUCUAUAAAUGUUUAAACGUUGAUUACAUUGUUCUACACUCUUGUACACUACUUGUCAUGUCAAUUUACUUUUAUUAUAUAAAAGUGAAAUAGAUUAAGACUAUGGUAUUUAGUCUACUGCAUCGAUGUAAUAAACCUAGAGUAAGUAGAUUGGAAUUAGUAGGUAAAGUUAUAAACUUCCGAUAUUGCAAAAAAUACAUUAAGAGAGAAAAAUAAAGUUGCUCGAUAAACUUUAAUAUUGUUUCGAGUUGAGUUGAUGGACCUAACUAUUCCUAUUCCUAAUUAAGUAACUAUGUAUAUUAAUUAUAAUCGUAGAAGUAGGUGGUUUAACAUGUCACCCACACAUUUGAAAUUAACCAAUCUAAGUUAUCUUUUUUUUUUUCCUAUCCAUAAAUCACCCAACAAGAUAAGGUAUGAGAAUAAAGUAAAUUUAAUAGUAAUGUUUUCAUUUGAUAAAAUAAAGACAAAACAAGAGAAAGGGCAAGUUUUGUAAUAUAGCAAAUUUGAGCAUUGAGAAAUGUGGUUUUUAAAUGCAAUCCCUAACUUUAAGCUACUUUAUUUAAUAUGGGGAAAGCAAGUUGCACGUGAAAGUGAUCACACAAAGUUUGGAGCCAUUUUUAGCCUUUGACUUCCUCAUGAAAAUUGUGGGCAGAGGUGAAAUUUCAAUUAAUCAUAUACGUCUAUGUAUGUCUAUGUAUCUCGGGUUUGAAUUAAAUUUUCAUAUUACAAUGUUUUCGUUUAGAUUUAUUGAGAUUUGAAAUUUAAAAUUGAAGUUCAACUUUGAGAUUUGUGUUAUUACUUAACAGAAGGUUCAAGUUUGUUAAUUAUUUCGAGUAUAAGUUAGGUCAUAUUUGAUAGAGAUAUCCUAACCAAUAUACAUGCUAUUCCAUGUUACUUUCAACAUGAACAUAAAUUAAUAGGUUAAUUUAACGUACAUAGGCUCGUACUUGAAUCUUUUAUUUUAUAUAGAUGAAUUUGAAAAAAAAAAGACACAUUUUAUCGUCUAUUUUAUAAUAAAUUUAAAAUAAUAAUAUAUUAUUUUUUCUCUCUAUUUGUGGUAUGUUGGUGAGUUAGAAAGCAACCUAAGAGUAUUAUUAAAUUUUAGGUUAGCUAAAACGAAAAUAACUCAACUCACACAUCUAUAGAUUUACGACUCAAUCAUCUAUAGUUUGAAAUUUGAAUGUUUAGUUUCAAUUUUGGCCAAACUAGAAAGAAUAAGUGGGAGCUGGAUGAUUUUACCAACAUCAGACGACAUCAACUUUGAAACUUUUUCAUAGAGUUCAAAAUGAACCAUAAGAAUCGAAGAUUCUUUAUGAUUAAAAGUUGACUCAUAUUGAAUAUUUUGUUCUUAUUUUAGAAGAAAUUUGUAUAAAUCCCCAUGAAAAUCAUCAAAGGUAAGAUAUUUUACAACUUAGAUCAUUCCAUGUGCUUUUAAAUUUUGAUGCUUUCGUUCUCCUCCACAUGGGUCCGAAGAUUUUCCGGGAAAAUUUCGUGGGGAAAAGUUUCUCAGAACUGUCCAAAUGAAUUUGUAUAACAAGAACAGAAAGAUUUCAAUUCUACGGUCACUAUUCACUUUUUCAUUGAACGCCAAAAUACAACUCGUUCGAACCUCUCUCUACUACUACAAGACAUUCAUCACCAAAAUAUCAAGCAACCCCAUCAAUCCCUCUCUUACUUUAUAUCUUCGAGAACGUGGUGAUUACUGAUUUCCCACUUCCCUACUAUAUUCUACACCAGCAAGGGAGAUUCUCCUUACUGCAUUUUCCAACCGAACGAAUUCAUCUCUUCAAUUUCGUUCUUCCUAUUUGGUGAGUGAAAUAUUUUUUAUGGGUGUAGCUUAAUUUCUUUGAAAUUCGAUUGUGAAGUUGUAUCUCGUUUGGUUUGCCUAGUUCAUGUUUCCUUCUUGUUUUGAGUUUCAAUCUGGAGAAUUAAGCAAUUUGCAUCUAGCUGAAAUGUGAGUGCAUUUAUUUGUGUUUUGCUGUGUAGAAAACUUGUUCUGGGUCUGUUUCAAUUCUGAAUAAGAUGGUGAAUUUGGGAUUGUUUUCUGGAGCCAAACGUGCUAAGUCGGUGAAUGUGAGAUUCAAAUUGCCAUACUAUACUCAUUGGGGUCAAAGCUUGGUAGUUUGUGGCUCUGACUCCUUGGUUGGUUCGUGGAAUGUGAAGAAGGGGUUGUUACUGAGUCCUGUUCACCAAGGAGAUCAGCUUAUAUGGUGUGGAAGUAUUGCGGUGUCUGAUGGAUUUGAAUGUGAGUACAAUUAUUAUGUUGUUGAUGACAAUAGAAACGUCUUGAGAUGGGAGAAGGGAAACAGGAGAAAGGUGUUGUUACCUCAAGGAUUACAGGGUGCGGAGGUCAUCGAGCUCCGUGAUCUUUGGCAGGUGCUCUCUUUUACAUUAUAUUCACCAGUGCUUAUUCUUCUUACUAUCGUUUCAAUUUCUUUGACGUUUCAGCUCGUUGAAUUCUAUAGGAGACUAUUGUAUGGCUUUGAUUUAAUUUGGUUAUUGAACAUUAUGUAAGAAUAAACUAUGAGAUAGUAAGAAUAAAUAAACUAAAUAGAGGUCGGAACUUUUCACUCAAAGAAGCUUCUAUCUUCCAAAAAUUUUCCAUUAUUAUUUCAAUGAAGAAGGAAAACACCCCUGCCUGACACAAAAUCAUCUCCUUUGCGAAUAAAUUAACCGAUGGCUCCACCUCCUAGCCUCUAUUGAGUUGCAACCAUGUGAUACUGUGCUUCCUCUGAUAAUAGUGGUUAGGGGUUUCACCCUGUCAAUGCUACAUUACAAGUUAAGUAUAAAACUUCAUUUUCUUAGAAAAGUUCACCUUUCAUAUCCUCAACUAGGAUGAAUGGCACUUAGAGAUGACGCAACAACAGUGGAGCUGUUAUGUGGUGCUUGUAUAAAAAAGAGUCAUCAGGAAUAGAGAUUUCACAUAUUUCUAUCUAUUUGAGCAACGUCCUAAGCAGAACAAGAAAAGGGAAAAGACCAGUUGAUUUUCUCUAUCAUUAAGGUUUCUUGUAAAAGUCAAUUUCAAAUUCCAAGAGAUAAAAGAGCAUGAGUCAUGACAUUGAUGAAAUGGAGGAAGUUUCUAAUUAUUGUAAUGACAAGGGAAUCUGAGAGUCAGAGUAGGCCCCAAUCUUCUGCAAAAAAUGGAUAUUUUUCUCACUAGCCGAAGCAAAGGAGAACUUAAUGAAGAACUGAUUGAUGGCUGUUCGUGGACUACACUUUGAGGGUCAGAGGGAACCUAACAAGCAUCCUAGUUGUUAAAGAAAACCUUGACCUACAAGCGAAAAUCUUAUACUGAAGGCAAAACACUCCCAUGACUCUCUAUCAACCACUUGUCUAGCAGGAUCUGAUUCUUAUGGACCAAAGUAUCUACACUGAACCCACCUUCGGUUGUUUAUUGUAGCAUGGUUUAGUACCAAAUUUCCAAUGAAGUUGAUUUUAGGUAAGAUGAGAGUCUGUUUGCCUUGGUGACUGAGAAUUGUAACUUGGGGAAUUGGGAAUUGGAGUUACAUUUCAACCUAGGCAGUUAUUUAUUUAUUUAUUUUUGGUAAAAUUUCCAUUUUUUAUUAAAAAGAUUCAUUCAUUUUGACUUGUCAUUAACGUUCUAUAUAAAACUUGUUUCGGGAAAUGUUUCAUGCCAAUGAGAUGAUUAUUAAUUAUGCUUGGAUUUGUGCAUUUAUUUUUUACAUUUCAAAGACUUUGCAAUACGUUGCCUUUCAGUUUUCUUCUGGUUACUCUUGUAAUUUUUUUUCUGAAAAUUUUGUACAUAUUGGUAUUUAAUAGAUGAAUUUUGGUCUCUGGAAUCUACGAGCAUUAGCCUGAUUUUAAAGAUCUCAUCUAUUCUUCUCUUUGAUACAUCAACUCAGACUGGUGGAGAUGCGAUUCCUUUCAAGAGUGCCUUUAAAGAUGUCAUCUUUGGAAGAAGUUCAACUUUGAGCAUAGAAAGACCACUAGGAAAUUUCGUUCAUAGUUUGGAUGAAGAUGGUAAGUUUAAUAUUUUCUUUGUUAUUUCGUGAAUAUCCUUCUUUAACAUAAUAUGAUUACUUCUGGGUAAUCUUAUCUUAACCAAGUUGUCGUUUUUUUUACUUGACUGAAGCAGACUCUGUUCUUGUCCAUUUCAAAAUUUGCUGUCCAAAUAUAGAAGAAGAUACAACAGUAAAUAUAUAUUUCUCUACCCUGCUUUAUUUCUUAUCUGCAAUUAGUUACUUCACACUGACUGGCGUUCAAUUUCAAUUCUAGUUAUAAUUUGUGAAAUUUUACUAGUGCAGAUCUAUGUCAUUGGUAGUUCUUCGAAAUUAGGACAGUGGAAGGUACAGAAUGGAAUUAAACUUAGCCAUGCGGGUGACUCAAUCUGGCAUGGAGACUGCAUCUUACAAUUCAGCGAUUUCCCCUUAAAAUAUCCUUUUCUGUUGUUUUCUUUUACAAUUGGAACAAUUUCCUAUGUUUAUGUUUAUUCCUUUCUUUCCCCUACCUAUUCCUUAAUAACAAUUUCACGUACAAGUAUUGUAAAUAUGGAAAAGCAGGAGUUAUUUCUUCAGAAUUUGGGCAAAACCGGGACCUUCUCCUUGAUGCUUCAAAUUUUCCACCAAGAUAUAUUUUACUUUCAGAUGGCAUGUUGCGAGUAAGCUAUUGUGAAGAAAUUUCUUCUGAAGAAUACUAGUUAGUUUUUUAGAAAAUUAGUUCACAAAUUUCUUGUACUCAGGAUCUUCCUUGGCGUGGUUCUGGUGUUGCAAUCCCCAUGUUCUCUGUUAGAUCAGACGAUGAUCUUGGAGUUGGCGAGUUUCUUGACUUGAAAUUACUUGUUGACUGGGCUGUGGAGUCUGGUCUCCAUUUAGUUCAACUUCUACCUGUUAAUGAUACAUCCGUCCAUGGAAUGUGGUGGGACUCGUAUCCUUACAGGUAGGAUGCAGUUUAAAUGCUGGAUCUGAGGUGCACUCGUCCAAUUUUCACUAUUUUACUUGUGAUAGUGAAUAGAUUGAAAAGCAUAUGUUGUUGCACUUCAGUUUUCAUUUUCUUCACAGCAUCUGGAUUGUUUUUAACAUUUACCGAUAGAAAUGUAUGGUUUUUCAAUUUUCUUAGAGACUGAAGAAUGAGACUAGUUUUCCAUUGUUACCCUCUGAUAGACCCCUAUCAUAUUACAAUAUAGUAGAAGGGGCAAGAAGAGUGUGGCACAUGUGAAAGGAGAUGGAAGUUCAGAGGUUGUUAUUAGUUAGUUAUUUUCAUCAUGUUGGGAGAAUAUAAAUAGUAUUUUCUGGAGAAAUAGAGGUAGGUAUUUUAUGAGGAGUUAGUUCGGCUCUGUUUCAUCCUUGCAAGAUUGGAUAACAGGAGUGAGUUACUUUCUUUACUUACAUUGCACAGAGGAAUUAUUCCUAAGAGAGAUCAAUAAAGUUUUACAUUGAAAUCCAAAUAUCAGAUCUCAUCAUAUUGGUAUUAGAGCACGUUCAUUCUGGGAAGACGUCCGAAAUGGUUUAGACGCGUAUUGGGGAACGAUUGGAGAACGACGAAGGGAGUAGUAAACGCAGUAAGUUCAAGAAGGUCGAGAUGACUAUCUUCAAUGGAGAAGAUCGGACUCAUGGCUUUUUCGUGCGGACAAGUAUUUUCAAAUUCACAAACUCAUUGACUCUAAAAAAUUAAUAGUAUCGACUAUUAGCUUUGAAGGCCCGGCGUUGAAUUGGUACCACACUCAAGAGGAACGUGAGAAAUUUGUCAAUUGGUCGAUUCUUAAAGAGAGGUCGUUAGUCCGGUUUCGAUUGAUCCGAGAGGGAUCAAUUUGCGCCCGAUCUUUACGAAUUAAACAAGAGACUACAGCGGACGAGUAUCAAAAUUUAUUCGAUAAGUUGGUGGCGCCGUUAUCAGAUUUACAGGAGAAAGUUGUCGAGGAAACAUUUAUGGGAGGUUUACUUCCAUGGAUCAAGGCCGAGGUGGAGUUUUGUGAGCCAGUCGGUUUAGUGCAAAUGAUGAGAAUAGCACAAAAGGUGGAGAAUCGGGAUAUUAUAAGGGGAGAGGCCAAAUUGCCCGGAUAUUCGGGAGGAAAAUACCAAUCCUACCCUGCUGUGACCAACAAAUCUAAUACAUUGACGACCGCGAAUGACAACAAGAGUAGUAUGAAUAUUCCCUAUGAGAACUAUAACACUAAGGGGAGCAACGGCCGACGAAAAUUGAAAGGAAGGAAAUUCGAAGAGACUAUCUGAAGUGAAAUUCCAAGCAAGGAAGGAGAAAGGCUCGUGUUUCCAAUGAGAAGUACUCAGGAGAUCACAAAUGUAAGGCGAAAGAGCAAAGGGAACUCAAAAUGUUUGUGGUACAUGCAGAGAAUGAGGAAUUUGAAAUGAUAAAAGAAGUUGAAGUUGAGAAGAAGGAAUUGAAUGUACCGGAGCUAAUUGAAGAAGACGACCUGUGUAUUGAACUGUCCUUGAAUUCCAUGGUAGGAUUGACGAAUCCAGGAACCAUGAAGGUGAGGGGAAAAAUACAAAGUAGAGACAUGGUAGUGUUGAUUGAUUGCGGGGCCACUCAUAACUUCAUAUCUGAGAAGUUAGUGAAGGAGUUGAUGAUUCCAAUGACGGAUACAUCACAUUAUGAGUUGAUCCUUGUAUCCGGUUCGACCUUAAAGGGAAAAGGAAUCUAUGAAGCGUUAGAGGUCUUGUUGGGAGAGUCGACUGCGAAAGAAAAUUUCUUACCUAUUGAGUCCGGAUGUUGUACUCGGAAUGUAGUGGUUAUACUCCUUAGGAGUAACCGAAGUAGAUUAGAAAAAUCUAUCCAUGACUUUUAUGCAUUAGAGCAAGAAGGUGAACGUUAAGGGAGAUCCAAGCCUCACUAAGCUUGGGUGAGUUUGAAGAAUAUGAUUAAAUCCUGGAGAAGUAAUGAUCAGGGGUUCUUGGUUGAAUGUAGAGCAUUAAUAGUGGGGAUGACCAUGGCUGAAUUCUUGGGACUACUUGGGAGUUAUAUGAGGAUAUGAGGCAGCGUUUUCCAGAUUUUCACCUUGAGGACAAGGUGAAUUUGGAGAAGGAGAGUAAUGAUAGACCACCAAUAUUUUAUCAGUACAGUAGGAGAGGAAAUAAAAAAUAACACGUGAGGGUGAGGCACGUGUGAGUGAAGGGAAUGGUAGCAAUAUAAAUAAGUUUGUAAUGGGUGGGAGAGUUGGUGAGGUUUUGAGUUUCAGAAUCUUUUCGGUUAUUCCUUGAGAGAGAGGAAAACGGAGGAUUGUGUUUAUGUUAUUUCUAUCAAUAAUAUCGAAUUACUAUUUCUUCCUACGUAUUCCAUCUAAGUCAUCAACAUUGAUCCCAACGAUAUUCCAUACGUAUCAUGACUCAGUUUUGAGGGGCAUUCGGGGUUCUUACGAACCUAUAAGAGGCUGACUGGUGAACUCUACUGGGAAGGCAUGAAGUUGGAUGUGAAGAAAUAUUUCGAGGAAUGCAUAGUAUGUCAACGUAACUAGCUCCGGCAAGAUUGUUAAUUCCCCUUGAAAUUCCUACUCAAGUGUGGGGUGAUAUUUCCAUGGAUUUCAUAGAAGGGUUGCCGAAAUCCAAUGGGUAUAUGAAGCCAUAUUUGUUGUGGUAGACAGACUAAGUACGGGCAUUUCCUUGCUCUGAAACAUCCCUACACUGCUAAAGCCGUGGCUGAGUUGUUUAUUAAGGAGAUCGUUAGAUUACAUGGUUUCCCUAAGACCAUUGUCUCUAACAGAGAUAAGGUUUUCCUCAGCAAUUUUUGGAGGGAUGAAAUUAAACAGGAGUACAACGUAUCAUCUACAGUCGGAUGGGUAAACUGAAGUUGUGAACAGGGGAGUAGAAAACUAUUUUGCGUUGUUUCUGCAGUGAGAGACCAAAAGAGUGGGUGAGGUGGCUGUCAUGGGCAGAGUAUUGGUAUAACACCACUUGUCAACUAGCAUUAGAGGUAACACCUUUUCAGGCAGUAUAUGGGAGGACACCACCUCCAUUGAUUUACUAUGGGGAUGGAGCAACCACAAACUCGGUGUUAGAUGAACAAUUAAAGGAGAGAUUGAUUUAGUACAAUCAUAACAAUCAGUGAUCAAGCUUUACAUUGAAUAAUUGUUACCGCUACUUUAUGUAUUUGAUUUUUCUCUAUUUGGAAUUAUACUCUUAGCUGUUAUUUUUUUAAUUUUGUGUCUAAAGUAUGUUAAAUGUGCAACUGUCUUAGGUUUAUAUAAUAAAUUAUUAUUAUUAAAUAAAAACACAAUUAGUGUUGCACAUUUCUGUCUCUGUAUUUUUAUGACUUAGUUUGUUGGGUCUCAGCCAUAUUUCUUAAGUUUGGCCCUUCAAAGUAUGCUAAAUGUGCAACGGUUAAGUGCUUCAUAAUUUUCUUUAUAACCUUUGUCAGUUUACUCCAAGUUCUAUCACCAGAAUUACUUACCAACCUUAAAAAGCUUUUAUCUCGAGAAUUUAUGGUUCAUUACAUUAAUUUAUGCUGUAGUGAUUAUUUAAUUGGUCCUUUGCAGUUCACUUUCCGUCUUUGCCCUGCAUCCAUUGUACUUGAGAGUCCAAGCACUAUCAGAUAAUAUUCCAGAGGAUAUCAAGGCAUACAUUUUUUCUUUUGUUGGAACUAUUUCAUGUUUUAAUUAAUCUAUUAUCUUUACCUAUUAACUUAUAUAUUUCUUGUUUUUUUACACCUUUUCUUUUCUUUGGGGUGUGUGGGGGUCUUUGCAGCUGGAGAUUCAAAAGGCAAAAGUUGAACUGGAUGGAAAGGUAGUUCUCAUGCUUAUUUUAUAUUGUUUUGUGCUUGCUUGUUACAGUACUAGGAAACAGAAUAACAUUCUAAUUAGUGAUUCAUAUCCUUGGUAUUUUCAUUAUUUUUUGUUACAGAGUUAUGAGAAAAAAGAUUAUAAAAUCCUGAUUUUUCAUCUGCUCUCCUUUUGUGGAUUGUUUGUUAAAGAAAGAUUAUGGCGAAAUUAAAAUGCUUGCUUGGUCUAUAAUUAUGUUAUCCUACAGUCAAGUUACACGUUCAAUUCUGGGAUAUGUGCAGGAUGUGGAUUAUGAGGCGACUAUGGCUGCUAAGCUUACGCUUGCACAGAAAAUUUUUGCUCGAGAGAAAGAUUCAGUAUUGAAUUCCAGUUCCUUUCAGAAGUAUCUUUCUGAAAACGAGGUUUUGAAGUUUGCUUUUCUCCUGAAAAUUUUACGUAGUAGUGGUGAAACUGAAACCAUAGUUUUGACACUUCCUCCUAUUAUAAUUAAUAUAUUGAUACUGAUGAAUAUUAGGUGGAUAUCACAUCCAUUGAACGUCAUAUUUUAUUAGUAUAUUCUGCCAAAAAGUUUAUGAUACUGUUCUCAUCCCUAUGUGAUUUACUUAAAGGAAUGGCUAAAACCCUAUGCCGCGUUCUGUUUUCUGCGAGACUUCUUCGAAACAUCAGAUCACAGCCAAUGGGGUCGUUUCUCUCAAUUUUCGAAAGACAAGGUGAUGUUUCUUAACAUGUACAACCACCCAAGGAAUUAAAUUCAUCUUACUUCUUAGCAUGUAUUCUAAGUAGAUUACUGGCUGUUCUUUCACAGCUUGAGAAGCUUAUCUCAAAGGACAGCUUGCAUUAUGAAGUCAUCUGCUUCCACUAUUAUAUUCAAUAUCAUUUGCACCAACAGGUACUUAAAGUCAUUAAUUAUAAGUUCCAUUAAUGGUUUCUGCUGUUAAAUGAGAUGGAAGAGGUCUUUUGCAUCUUCAUUGUUUGGUGACAUUAUUAAUUGACAGUUGUCGGAGGCAGCAAAUUAUGGAAGAAAGAAAGGAGUGAUAUUGAAAGGCGAUCUUCCGAUUGGUGUCGAUAAGAAUAGUGUAGACACCUGGGUUUACCCUACUUUAUUCCGUAUGAACACGUCAACCGGAGCACCUCCAGAUUACUUUGACAAAAAUGGACAAAAUUGGGGAUUUCCAACAUACAACUGGGAGGAGAUGUCAAAAGAUAACUAUGCUUGGUGGCGCGCUCGUUUAACUCAGGUUUUGCUAAAGUUCAGGAACCUUUUAUUGUCUGUCCUUAACCUUUGUUGGCCUUGCAUUAAUCUUAUGCACAUAUAACUUUCAUGCUUGAAUUGUAGAUGUCAAACUACUUCACAGCUUACAGAAUUGAUCAUAUAUUGGGUUUCUUUCGAAUUUGGGAGCUUCCAGAGCAUGCUAUGACCGGUUUAGUUGGAAAAUUCCGCCCUUCUAUUCCGUUAAGCCAGGUACGUUUGGUCAUUUCAGAAGCAAACAUUUCUAUUUUUAAUGUGAAUGGUUGUGCAAAAUUUUGUUUAAAUAAUUAUUUUUCCACAGGAAGAGCUCGAAAGAGAGGGAAUAUGGGACUUUGAUCGCUUGAGUCGUCCAUAUAUCAAGGCUGAAUUUUUACAGGUUGCUAAACUUUGAAUCUACUUAGCAAUCUUGAAAAGCAUUAUUCGAUUCUAAUGACCUGAAGUAUGGUUUAACUUUUCUUUUUCCAGGAUAAAUUUGGAGCUGCAUGGGGGUUUAUUGCGUCUCACUUUCUGAAUGAAUAUCAGAAGAACUUUUAUGAGGUGAUAAUUAUGAUGUAUGCUGCAUAAAAUUUGACUUUCAGUUAUCCAUGGUAUAUCCUAUGAAAACAACAUCACGUCCUUGCCGAAUCCACCAAUCUACUCAGUUAACUAUUACUCUUGUGCAGUCCAUUUUCUUCACAUUGGGAUAAAAUUAUGCAUUUUUUUAUACAUUUUAUAAUUAUUUUUUUUCAGAAUGUAGAAUUAAGAACUCUAUUAUUAGUGAUACUGAAAGUUAUAUCAUAUCUAGUGGACACUGGAGAGUUUCCUGUUUUGAAUCAGAUUGACCUAUAGAACAAUUGUCAAUUAUAGUUAUAAAUGAGUGCACGAAUCAGAGUAAAAAGUGGUUGGAUUGAACUUGAUAGUUUUAAUACUAGCAAAGACGUGUGAACAUUUAUUUCUCCAAUUGAUUCCAAAACUUUGAUAUUAUCUACUUCUGCUCCAACUAAUAUCUCUCAAGUCUUAUCUGGGCAUUUUCAGUCUUAAUUGUGGUGAGCAUUCGUUUCUCUUUUUCAGUUCAAGGAGGAAUGUAACACAGAGAAAAAAAUUGCCUCCAAACUGAAGUCACUUAUUGAAGAGACACAGUUGCAAAACCCAGACCAGAUACGACGCAGUCUUUUUGAUCUUAUACAGGCAAGAAGAUGUUACAUUAGAGAAUGCCUGGUCUAUGAAAACUUGUUCAUGGAAAACAUCAACCUUUUUCUCUCAAGCCCUCUAGAUUUGAUUGGACUUGCCAUUUCUAUACAGAUCAUGGCCUUCAGUUCCUUUUUUAUUCUUUGCAGAACAUAGUUCUUAUGAGAGACCUAGAGAAUCCAAGAAGUUUCUAUCCACGCUUCAAUCUUGAAGAUACUUCUAGCUUUAAUGAUUUGGAUGAUCACAGGUUGCAGUUUUUCUUCCCUGUAUUACUUUCACUGGAGACGUAUUCCUAAAAACUCCUAUCAUAUUUUAUUUCAAAACGAAGUUUUAACAGUUAUCCUUUGAGAUGAACACUUUCUUUUAUCCUUCAUUAUAAAUUUCUUCUCUCUUUGAUACGAAGUUGACAUCUGUUGCAAGAUCUUAAUAGUUUUUCUUUUACGAUGCAGUAAGGAUGUUCUGAAAAGAUUAUACUAUGACUACUACUUCCACCGGCAAGAGGAUCUUUGGCGGAAAAAUGCUUUAAAGACCUUGCCUGUUCUCCUUGACUCUUCUGACAUGCUGGCCUGUGGAGAAGAUCUUGGUCUCAUUCCUUCAUGUGUUCAUCCUGUAUGACUAAAUUAUAACUGAUCCUCUUUUUGAAAUGCACAUACCCACUUUCAUGGCAUGAAGUAAACCAUGCGGGUCAACUGGCAAAACUGUUUUUUUUUUUUGGAGAAAACGUACUUUUGAGUAAAAGCACUUCUCUUCUUCUACAUGUACUUUUGGAAGAAGCACCAAUUAAGUGCUUCUCAUGAAAUCGUUUAUAGUUCUUUCAAAACAACAUUUUAUUAUUAAACCAAACACUUCAAUUUUUUAGAAAAAGAUAUAUUUUUAGUGGGACAAAAGUACUUUUUAUCCUUAAAAAGAUCACUAUAAACUCACAUAAUAGACCGUCAAUCCUAAGUGGGAGGGCUUGUGGAGUCUUAACCUUAUUCUUGUUUUUGAUGCAGGUUAUGGAGGAGUUGGGAUUAAUUGGUUUACGGAUUCAACGUAUGCCAAAUGAACCUGAUCUAGAGUUUGGGAUCCCUUCUCAAUAUAGCUACAUGACUGUAAGCCCUUGAAUCUCAUUUUUUUUUCCACUUUAAAAUUGACAAAACUUUCUCCUAUGAUGAGGAAGGAAUGCAAAUAUUUUAUUUUGAAAAGGAAACAAACUCAUGCAUUAAUAAAAAUAAAAAUAGAAGCCAUAGCUCGUAGUACAAGAGAGUUAUAAUGAGCAAAUGCUAUGACAAUAGAACAAGAAAGAUCGGCAAGUGCACUCGAGCAUCUCAACUAGGUUGACACCCCAUAACACCCUCAUCAUAUCCAAACAAAAGGAGUCCAACCUAAGUAAUUAAAGAUCAAAAGGCUAGGCGCAACCAAUACAAACCAAGCAACUGUAUGAUCAAUCCGGCCUAAACAUAGCCACAAACCAAAAAAAAUCUGAGAACAAUACAUCGAUACAGAAAACUGGAAUAUAAAACUGGAAGAAGGAGAGCCAUCAUAAGGGUCAUCUAAAGCCAGGGUCCAGAAUUAGAGCUUCAGUCAACUGGGAAAGAUGAAAACCUUCCAAUUUAGCAAAAUAUCUUGUAGAGAGAAAUCUUUGAAUUGUUUACUGAGCAGGUGCCACGAGGAGGCAUUCAGCUGAGCCAAUUCAAACCUGUCCUUACAGAAAAGAAGUCUAUUUCCUACUGAGCUUAUAUGCUACUAGUUCAAGGUUAAUAAAGCGAACAAAGUAUAAUUAUUUUCAUUACCUUAAAAACAAGAAUCUGUAACAGGACCAAAAUAGGUUCAUCUGCCUUUCAUGACUAAGGAGGAAACUACCAAACCUCAGUAGAAUGGAAAAGUAUUGAUUUCCUGACAAAAUUUAUGACGUAUUUGUAUACUUAUUUUGAGAAAGUUGCACAUUCCUUUCAAAUUCCUUCUAUCUGGCAUACGUUAUACAUUUACCAUCGAUAAGUUUGAAAAAUUCUUCCAAAAUGAUACCACUCCGGAUUGGCUAACAAUGGGAACAUGUUUUAGGUGUGUGCUCCAUCCUGCCAUGACUGCUCGACUUUGCGUGCUUGGUGGGAUGAAGACGAAGAAAGAAGACAACGGUUCAUGAAGAACGUUAUAGAAUCUGAUAUAUUGCCACCUAGCCAAUGUAUUCCAGAGAUAGCACAUUUCAUCAUAAAGCAGCAUUUUGAAGCUCCAUCUAUGUGGGCUAUCUUCCCACUUCAGGUGACAGGGUGGUCCUAACCUUUUUUUUGUUUGCAAUAUCAGGAGAUUUACAUCUCAAAUUAUUUGGAUCGAGUUGAGUAACAAACAAAUACAUUUUUAAAAGUGUCUCUCCUUUCCUAUGUCCAUUGACACCCAAGUUAUAGUUAAUUACCAUUUUCAGUUGAUUCUCUCUGGUCUUCAUGAAGUUCAUCUUCGUCUUUUACAUCAAUGUCAGGACCUAUUAGCACUGAAAGAGGAAUACACAACACGACCUGCAAAAGAGGAGACGAUCAAUGACCCUACAAAUCCAAAGCACUAUUGGAGAUUCCGUAAGCAUGUCUUCAUAAUUCAUGUUUGGUGGAAAAGGAAGAAAAAGAAAAAGAAAAAUUUCAAAGCUAUUGUAUCGGUUUCACUGCAAAGUGCAUAUAAUGUUUCUUGUCUCGAAAAUCAUCGUUUUUUAUCUGUUAUGUUUUUCAGGUAGUCAUGUGACAUUAGAAUCUCUAAUGAAGGAUAAAGAACUCCAAGCAACCAUCAAAGGUCUUUCCCUUGAGAGUGGGAGAUCGGUUCCUCAUGAUGAAGCCAAACCAGCAUCAAAACCAACAUCUGUAGAUGUUGAAGCUAACGAAGAAAAGAUAUCUCUAGCAACGAAGUCCAAUGGAAAACCACAAAAGGAGACACUCGCAGUCACAUGAAUGCAAAUAGCUUUUGAGGUAAGUUUUCUCAAUUGUACAAUAAAACAAUUCGAGAGAGCGAUGAAACAAUAGCUUCUUCGAACGUUGUAUGAACACUUGCUUCUUCUAAGCCUGCCUAAUAAAAGGAAAUCAAGUCUUCUCUUCUUGUGUUGGAUCAUUGCUGUUUAUUGUAAUUUAACCAAUCAUGAACAACCCUACAAAAUGACUUCAACUCCAAGGUACUUUCAUGUGCUCUUGAUGAAAGCUGUACAAUGUUUUCUAAAGUGGCUGAAGUGCACUAGAAAGCAAAACCCUUUGCAACUUAAGUUUGAAUCCGGUGAUUUUCUUAGAAAUUUUAUUUAUUUAAUUUUUAAGGUAGACACAAUAAAACAUGGAAAUUAAUUACUUAAGGAUGGUGUAGAGCUUCUGAAAGAGACCCUUCAGAGAAACCAAGGCUUCUUUCUCAACUUUUUCACAUGUUAUUCAUCCAAAUCUUGAUAUUUUUAUAUAUCCAUACUUUCAUUACAAAAUAUAACAAAAAUAUUAAUCAUGAUAGACUAUGUUACAAAUAAUAAUCUAUAAACAUGGUAGACCAUAUUGUAUCAUAAGUGUCUAUUAGUGAUAAAAGUUAAAUUUUGCUAUAUUUACUAUUUUUUAAAAAUAUUGUUAUAUAUUUAAUCAUUAUUCCUAAAAUUGCUAUGAUGAUAUUUGCGAGAUCAUUUUAGGUAAGCAUCCAGACUACUCAAUCUUCCUUAAUUAAUUAUAUUACAAAAAAAAAUAAAAAAUAAAAAAUGAAUUUAUCACAAAACCAAAAAGUGAAAUGAAACACAAAAUUCUCCACAUCCAAGCUUUUAUAUAUACUAUAGACAUGUAUUAUCUCACACAUUUCAAACUUUUACUAUGAGUCACAAGACCGAAUAAGAAGUCUUUUAGGUACAUAUGUAUUAGGUAGCACAUUCCAAAUUUUUACUAUGCGUUACAAAAUUGAAUUUCUACAACUCUUAAUUAAGUCCUGUAGAGUGGUUUUAGUAAGCGUUUUAGAUAUAUAUAUAUAUAUAUAUAUAUAUAUAUCAUGUCACACACAUCUUGCAGUUGUUCAUAGGCUUUAUGAGAUUGGAGUUCUUGAUUUUACCUACUAGUGGAAGUUCAUUUACCAAUCUUGUAUACCCAAGAAACAUCGUUCAUCCAAUACUUUAAUUCAAGCCGUUGUCCAAACUAUAUAAAACACAUCCAAAAGAUUUAUAAACUUCAUUUCCUUUUUGUUCUUGACGUGGAUGAACAAAAAACAUACUUACAUUCUCCUUUGAGUUCAAACCACUGUCCAAAUACAUAAAACAUACUCGCACUCUAUUUUCUCCCAAAAUCUUAAAAAAGAAAAUGCAAAGUAUUCACUAUCGCUGCCCGGUGGAAGUGUAUGUUGAAGGAUGGUGCAACAGCAGUUGGGCGCAAGGAAGGAUUCAAUCGUGAAGGAGCAAUUUCAAUUUGAUCUUUUAGGGUUUUUUUUUUCUUUCUAAAGGACAAUAAGGAACAAAGUAUUGGUGAUAGAGUAAGAUGGUGAGGAUGAUUGUGGCUUGGUAAGAGGUUAGAGGAAGAGGGAAAGAAGAAUUAAUUACAAACCUGAGGUCCCAAGUUUGAGUUGUAGUUGCUGUUGGCCGUCGUAGGGUGUUGAGUCAUGAGGGAGAACCUCAAGUCGUGCGGGAGAUAAAUGAAGAGAAAAAUGGAACAUUAGGGGUUUUUUUAUGUGGGGGUAAUUUUGACAUUGCAACUCAUUUUUAUUACGAUUUUUUUAAGGAAAAAAAUUAACUUUAUGAAGGUAAAUUUAAUAAAUAAUAUAAUAUUCCAGUAAAAAAAAAGGAAAACGGAAAAGUUGGGUAAAUGAAAGCAAAACAAAAACAGGGUUUUGUCUCUGAACAGCGGAUGACGCGGCCAUGGAAGUUAGUUAUAGACAGUUUUAGUUUUAGCAAAAAUAACCUGUCCCAAUUCAGCCAAAUUUGGAAAAUGCCCAAAAAAAGAAACAGCGUGGGGAAAUUUUGAUUGAUAAAGGGGUUGGGGUUGUAGGAUUUUUGGGCACUGCAUUGGGGUUGAGGAAUUUCUUCUUCUUUUAUACUGGUCAAAGGGGAGCGGGAGGGCUCUCUUUCUGAAUUUUGCCGGUGACCCAACUGGUUUCUCUCGCGCUCCCAUUCUCCUGUUUGUCUCCCUGAAUGCCUUAACCAGUGUUCAGGGUAAUUUCACUCUUUUACUUCCCACCAUUUUCAUUUCCUGCUCAAUCUGCACCAAUCCCAUCAAUGAUUAAUACUUCUCACUUUAAUUUUCUCUUUUUCGUUUUUGUUUGCUUAUUGGGUGGUUAGAUCGGAGAAGGACUUGUUGUUCUGUUUACCAUCAAUCUCUUGAAUGAUUAAUGUUUGGUUAUUGGGUGCUUAGAUUGAAGAAAGGUUUUUUGUUCUGUUUGGCAUGAAUCCCAUGAAUGGUUAAUAGUUAUGGUUUUGAUUUUCUCUUUUUGAUUUCUGUAUGCUUAUUCGGUUCUUAGAUGGAAGAACAGUUUACUUUUUCUGUUUGGUUCUUUCUAGGGAAAAUGAGUGUAAUCGACGGUUGGAUCGUUUGGAAUAGUGAAAUGUAGAUUUUGGAAGUCAUAUGAUGGUUUUUAUUUUUUUGUGUAUUCAUUAGUGUAUCUCUCUUUUGGGUUUGUAGGUAGAUGGAAGUACAGUUUAUUUUCUUUUUGUUUCCCGGAAAAAUGUGUAUGAGUCCGUUGUUUUUUUUUAUUAUUAUUUUGGUUUCAGAUCAUUCUGGUGACUUAAUUGCAAAGGGGCGUGGGAUUAAUAGGUUUGUUAAUAUCACUCAAGAGUGUUUUUCUUGAUUUUCAGUACAUGAUAUUUAGAUUUUAUGAUUCUAACUUCUCUACAGGUUGUGAUGGAUUCCAGAAAAAUGGGUGGAAGUCGGCAUGCGUUUGUUGUAAAUCAUGCAUGAAGUACAAAGCUGCAUCUGAUAUUUUACAACUUAAUCUGACCUUAAUGGGUAAGAAAGAUUAAUAAUUGGCCACCAUAUUGUUUCUUGCUGGCAUGGUUUUUCAAAUUUUCUUGUUUUAAUCAAAUAAAUAUUGUUUUAUGAUAUUGAACUUUAUGAAGUCGAGGCAUUUUCUGUGGAAAAUUACUUCUGCAAAUGUCCAUUUUCUGAGGACUAAGGAUCUGCAAAUGUUGUUCGAUGUUUGAGCAUCUUCUAAUUAACAAAUAUGGAGAUAUAUUUCAUUAAAUGUACAUUGAUAUAUACCUCGGUUAUUUGAUUGCAUUGAAGCACUCAUAAAAAUUUGUUUGAAAAUAGUAUGAAUUGGGAAUUUGGAAAGCAGUAAUUUAUGACAAAAAUAGAUUCAUUUAACAUGUAGUUUCAUUCAAUGAUUUCUGUAAGUCCAUCAAAUAGAUAUACUUACAAAAUUAUACUUUUCUGCACACACUUUUAUUCUUUUAUUGGAUUCUUGUCACUAGUACUUCAAUCUGAAUGCACUUCUUGGAAAUGAGAAAUGAACUGAUUCGAGAUUGUCACUUUUGAUUGGGCUGAGUGAUGUUUCCAGGAAAGGCAGAUCCUUAGGGAAAACCGCGAAAUUUUUUUCUUUCAUUGGCAUACAAUUGUCAUUCAGCUGUAUGAAAUUGUACACGAUGGCCGUUGUAGUUGAUCAGCGUCGUGAAUUUAAGGCAUUUUGCCGGUCUCAGAGAUGUAGACUUCAAUCUUAUACUCAUCUUGACCUCAGCAAUUGCGAAAUUGAUCAAAAUAAUUUCGUCAAUUCCUUGAGAGAAGCAUUUGAAGUUGCUUGUAUACAUCGAAGCUUUUCAACACCCUGCCUAUCUUUGGUAGAAGAAGUUGACUACAAGCCAAGAAUUAAAAUCAUGGUUGGCCAAGGUACAAGGCUACAUGGUGUCAUUGAAGAGGCUGUAAAUGCUUUGGCAUCCGGUGUUGAUCCAGUACCGGUGUCAAGUGGUUUAGGUGGUGCGUAUAUCUUGCGUAAUGAGAGUGGAGUAAACAUUGCUGUGGUAAAGCCUAUUGAUGAAGAGCCAUUUGCCUGUAAUAAUCCAAAAGGAUUUGUUGGUAGGCUGAUGGGUCAACCUGGUCUGAAACGCUCAGUUCGGAUCGGUGAAACAGGUGUCCGUGAAUUGGCAGCUUAUUUGCUUGACUAUGGUGGCUUUGUCGGUGUUCCUCCAACAGCUUUGGUAGAAAUCUCUAAUGUAGGAUUCCAUGUUAAUAAUUCAUACGGGAUUCCAGCUGCACCACGCAAGAUUGCUUCACUCCAGAGUUACGUAGAUCAUGAUUGUGACGCUGGAGAGCUUGGUCCCUCUAGUUUCUCUGUUGCUGCAGUUCAUCGCAUAGGGAUUUUUGAUAUAAGGCUCUUAAAUAUUGAUAGGCAUGCAGGCAAUUUACUUGUGAAGAAGAAACAAAGGCAUGAAAAUUGUGAUGUUUGGGGGGUCGAGCUUGUGCCAAUUGAUCAUGGACUUUGCCUUCCUGAGUGGCUUGAUGAUCCGUAUUUCGAAUGGCUUCACUGGCCUCAAGCCUCGAUUCCUUUCUCUGAGACUGAGCUUGAGUACAUUGCCAAUCUUGAUCCUUUCAAAGAUGCAGAACUCUUAAGAUCUGAGCUUCCUGCUAUAAGGGAGGCCUCCAUUAGAAUCCUCAUUCUGUGCACCAUUUUUCUGAAAAAGGCUGCAGCUAGUGGGCUUUGUCUUGCUGAUAUUGGCGAAAUGAUGACCCGGGAAUUUGGCAGUGGAGAAGAAAACUUAAGUGCAUUAGAGAACCUUUGUGCUCGAGCUAUGGCCAUUGUACCAAUUAUCAUUUCAGGCGAGCAUGACAGUGAACAAGAAAACAGUGACCUAGAAAUGUUUAAAUUUGAAAGUGAAAGCAAAUAUGAUGGUCUUAACAAAGAGGUUUCUGACCCUCAACUCCGAGAAACUUCUGAAAUCCUCAAGCCUCCAAAAGCUCCUAAGCUCCAAUGUCUUGAUUAUCUAACUGAAUCAAAGACUACACCAUUAACCAAUAUUGAAACCGAUGAAAACAUACACAAGGAUGACAUCGAUUGUAACUACAUUGUUUCAAAAAGUAGUAACCACAGUAGCUUGAUCAAGAGCAAGAGUUUUUCGGUGCAAAAUCUUCAGAUCGAGAGCGGGGCAAUCAUGUUUGGAGAAAUGAGUAGGGACGAGUGGGAGCUGUUCUUGGAUAGUUUUGAGAAGAUUUUACCCGAAGUACUCAACAAGACGAGGUGCGUGGGCUCAAAGCUUCAGAGGAUGGGAACUUCUUGCAAAUUCUGAUUUGUUUUCUCUGGAGUGGAUUGAAUUCGUAGCGAAACAAGAUGGAAGUGAAAUGCAGUUUGCUCAUCUUUGUAACUAGAGAAGGAACUGUACAUUAUAUUAUUAUGGUAAAAGGAGACCUUUUCAUAGAAUAGAUGGAUGAUGAUGAUGAUGCUGAUGGUGGUGGUGGUGGUGAUGGAUGAUAACGAUGAUAGGGUCAGAAAAGGAAAAGUGAGUGGUGAGUUAGGCAGCCAUCCUUUCCUUUGUGUAACUUUUUUUUAUAAAUUUUCCUCAUGUUUUCUUUUGCUUGUAAACACAAAUCAAAUGCCUGGCCUGCAUUGAAAAUCUUUUUGUUGCAGGUCAUGAUGUGUUCUUUAGAAAAUAUUCUUCAGCUCUUUCCCUCUUUUGUAAUCCCAUAUUUCAUUUACUUAUAUAUACAUAUGUAUAUGUAUGUGUACAUUUUGUAUUCAGCACUCAAAACAUUUUGUUCAUCUUCUUUUUCUUCAACUAUUCUUUUCGCUCUUUUAUUAUUGGGUUAGAAUUUUAAAGCUCUGCUGCCAGAUUUAUUAUAAAAGAAAAAAAACAAAAAGAAAAAAAGUUUGACAUCGUUCCAAAUGGUUUAUCUUCUUUGUUUAACUUAGUUAAAUUCGUAAUUUGUGAAACAUCUAAUUUUGGAAGGUUACACAUUUUAUUUCUACACACCUGAAUUGUUGUUGUGUAUCAAAGUUUUUAACCUUCGCGCCAUUUUGGUUUUGAGCUAUUGACUUCAUUAUUGUUGAACAUGUUUUUGCUGGUUCUAGUUUCUUGAUUGAAGUUGAAUUGUUUUUUUUACUCAAUUUGAUUUUGUAGUAAGAACUAUGGAAUUUGCUAAUCUUUGAUUAUUUUGAACAAUUCAAAUGAUUGUUGUACAUACUUUAUCGUCUAGCUAGUUGGACCCCUUAUGAACUUUUAUAGAUUCAUUCAUUGGUGGAGGAUUUGAUUCACUCAAAGUGCUCGGCUUACUAACAACUUUUAUUCAAUUCUUCUUUUCAUUCUGGGGAAGGAUAAAGAAAAUUUAGGUCAUAAUCUUUUGGUUUGAGAGAGAAGAUCUUAUGACUUGUAAUUGUGUUUGGUGGGGAGGGAAAUGGAAGAAUUUUCAAGGAUGUUUCCUAAACUUUUGUUAGAUUUUGGUAUUUGAUUAUGUUUUUACAUAUUUUAUUGGAAUAAAUAUAAACACCCUUUUAUAAGUUAAAAGUUUUUUUUUGUUCCUUAGUUUACAAUGGAAGAUCUUUCUUGUAAUCCACACAGGACAUAGGAUUUCUUUUCAAAACUCCCAUUCAGUUUAUUUAUCAAUGACUUGUUUUGACCCUUUGAUUGUUUAAGUUUAAUUUUCUUUUGCUCAGUCUAUUUUAUAGCUUGAUUUUAAAUGUUAUAUUGGCUGAGUUUCAUAUUUUACUGUAUUCUAGUUUUGAUUUCAAUAAGUUAUUAUAAUACCAUUGUUCUUGAUUUUUGGUUGUUUAACACUCACGUCUUCACUUGACUUAAAUUGAAUGUCAUUGACACUUAAUUUAAUUGUUAAGGCAAUAAUUAAGUAGUGCAAUCUUAUCAAUGAGACUUACUUUUUGUGUACAGUGAAAAGUGAAAAUUAUUACAGUGAAUUGUAAUUUGAAUAUGGUAUUUUGUCCUAAACAAUCCAUUGAUAGAGUGAUAGAAAGAAAGAUAGAGAAAAUUGUGAAGCGACGAUUGGUUGUGCCACGAUUGACAAAGGUAAAUGGCAAAAAGAGGUGGAGCCGUGACGUAAAACGGAGUAGUGAUGGUUGGUGAAAGAGAGACAUAGAGAGAGAAAAGUGGCGUGUGACGAUUGGCGAAGGGACGUGUGGCAAGGAGAUGGAGGGGUGGUUGCAACAAACGGUGAAAUAGAGAUGUGUUGAAGGUUUCCCAAUUCAAACAAAAUUGGUUUAGUUUUGGUUUGGGGGUAUGUGAAUGAGAUCCAACUAUGGGUUGAAUCUCCUCAAAGAGUGUCUCUAAGCUUACUCAUUCCUCGGGGACACAGUACUUUUGGUGCAAAAUAAAUCACGAGAUGGACUGAUUAUCGCCUUGCCUACUACCCAUCCCCAAGAAAGAGGGGGUAGUCCUAUCCUGGCUUACCAAUUCUCAACCUUUACUUACCUCAAUUUUCUUAUACAUUUCUUUUACGAGACAUGUUAAACAAAUUUAUUAUCGAAGUUAAUGGUGUGAUACCCAUUCCUCCAAAAUCUUAAAAAUUAGAGGAAAAAGAAAGAAAAAUAUUACCUCAUCCUCAAGAUCAUGGAAUUUUAAUAAUAAUAAAAAAGAAAAUAUAGGAAAUCUUGGAAAAACUCGUGGAAGCUAAAAUCAUUAACUAAAAAAUAGAUGCUUCCUAAUAUCAUCCAAUCCUAAUUUUUCCAAUUUCGUAUCUAAAGAAUGAAUUAAAAAGAAAAAAGCAAAUUAACAUGGAAAUACACAAAAAUGGUAAAAAAGAAAUAGCAUAAAAUCUAAGUAUUCAAGUAUUCAAUUCUUUACAGAUUUAUAUUAAUUUAUGUAUAGUUUACUUUCCCUAAAUAUUUAGUUAUUUAUUUAUUCAAGUAUCACAUACGAGUUUUUUCGAUAAUAGAAAAAAGUGACAAAUUAUUUAUAUUUCGGAUAACAAAACUACUAAAAUCACAAAAUUAAAUGUUAGGGUAUAAACACAAAACUACUAGAAAUAGGCAUAUCCUAUCUUUUAUUACUUUUAUUUGUUAGUGUAUAAAUAAAUUAAAAUCUUCAAUCACUUUUCUAUAAAAAUAAUAAUAAAAAAAGUGGACUUUUAAUACUGUCAAUGUUUAUUGAAUUACAAACCAAAGUUUAUAAAUGAAACCUAAUAGACUGACUGAUUGAUAUCAUUUGAUUUUAGAAUUGGACAUAUAAUCCUUUUAUUAUUAACUAUCAAGUUUAGAAAUAAAAUCAUAGAUAAAUAUCUAUUAUUAUUGUUUGUUAGAGUGAUAAAAGUCUAUCAAUAACUGAUCAUGAUGAAUGUCUAUUACUAAUAUAUUUCUUCAUUUUAUCACUUCUAUGGUUGAUAUAUUGACUUUUAUUUGGUACUCGAACUACAUAGUGAUAGUAGUGAUAACGUUGAAAUAACAAAAAGAAAAAAUUAUAAAUAUAUAUAUAACUAUUGUAUGGAUGCAUGCAUGAUGGGAUAGUGUGAAGUGUAUUGAGAAAACAUGAGGUGACAAAGAAUAGAGAGAUGUAAGCAUGUGACAUACUAACUUGUAAUUAAUAAUAAAAAGGUGGCAUAUGUGAGGGAUUUGCAUGAAUUGACACAAAAGGGUAACGUAGAAAGGAUAAUGUAGAGUCAUGGAGAAGAGGGUGUGAAAUAAAUAGUGUUAUGAAAAAUAGGGUUUGAAAUAAAUAGUUAAAUAUUUGUUAUGAAAAAGAGAAAUAUAGAAUAAUAUUUUGUUAUGAAAAAGAGGGUAUGAAAAUAAUAAUAACAAAUGAUAUUCAAUUAUUAAGAAAUUUGUAAAGUGGAUGUUGGAAAAUUAAACACUUACAUCCAAAUAUGUAGAAGAUUAGAACAACAUAAUAUAUACGGAGAAUUUUAGAACUUUUAUUCAAAUAUCACGGUACAAGCUCUUCCAAAGAUGUUCUUCCUAAUUCUGUUAGACUCCAUUUUGUACACAUGAUAGGUGUUCGAAGUUGAUUAUGCACUUUAUUUUACAUGACACGUUUACACUUUUACAAGACACAUCUCUAUUUUACAGGACACGUAGGACACAUACUUUGAAAACAAAAUUACAUGACACGUUUAUUAUUUUUGUACAAGACAUGACACGUUUAUUAUUUUUGUACAAGAUGUGACACGUUUAUUAUUUUUGUACAAGACAUGACACAUACUUUAACGUAAAAUUAUCUUUUCAUAGGGAUUUGAAUUUUGUAUUCAGAUUUUGUCUUGAUCGACUGGUUUUGUCUGUGUAUGGAUAUGAUUGAAGAAAUUGGCAAAUUCAUCUUGAUCUUCUUCUUGAUCAUGAACAUUAGAAGUGAUUUUUUCUUGACUCGUGGCAAAUGGAAAUGAAAUAUGUUGAAUAAUAAUAUUGAGUUCUUCUUCACUUGUAACUUGAGUCAUGACAUCAAUUAACUUUGCUUUCUAGGCUAAAAAUUGUUUUUUUUUCCUUCGAAUUUGGCUUCAUGUUAUGAGUAUAUGUGGAAAACCAUUUUUUGACUACAUUCUUUGAGGUAACUACUGUGUUUAAUUUUUUUUUCCACCAUUUAAUGCGAUAUGUGCAUAAAAGGUGGGAGAUACCAUUGCUUUAUGUGAUGGAAUAAUUCCAACGGAAAAUCCAAGCGACAUGAAAAUAGUUUAAAAAACAUAGAGUUUGAUCAAAAGCAUUUGCAAAAAUAUUGUUGGAGAAGAACUUGAAACAUUCUAAAAUUGAAUAGGGUAGAAUAGCCUCAUUUAGGCCAAAAAUAUCUCACCAAUCAUUAAAUCAUAAUGGAAAAUUUUGAAUACAAGUUUUGUCAAACAUAAUGAACCAGAAAUUAUUAAAAUUAUUUAGCCAAAAUACAUUGUACCAAGCUUUUUGGUAAUUUGGAAUAGUUUUGAGGAAGAAAUUGAUGUGAAAAUCUUUUUUCAAUAAAAAUACUUUGAUUCAAUUUGGUUUGUGUCAAUACCUUGAUUUUUGAAAAAGCUAUUUUAGUAUAGUCUUCUUUAUUUUUGGUGUGAGUGAUUUCAAUGGAAUCGGUUUCCACCAAAAUAUAUUCAUAAAAUAGAUGAAUUUUUUUAGGAUGAUUUGGAAUGAAGUGAAAAUUCGAUGAAAAUAUUUUUUGGACCGUUUUGAAUAUGAAAUUUGCCAAAUAUUCACGUUCUAGGAUUGUGAUAAAAGAAGUUUAAGUUUUAUCGCGAUAAGAUGGAGUUAUUGUUGUUAUUAUUAUUAUUAGUAUUAUUGUGGUAAGAUGAAGUUAUUAUUGUUGUUCUUCUUUUUCAUUAGUACGACUACUUGUUAGGGAAACUAUUUAGGAACAUAGUGUCAGUUGCACACUAAUUAUUUAUAUAAUAUCUUUUCUCUUGUUGGUCGACUAUUCCUUCCGAGGAUUCACCUUAUACCUUAGGGAGUAAAAAAAGAAAUUCACCCUUGAAAAUGAGGAAAAAUUUCUCUAUUUAUAGGGUUUUUUGGUGGACUUGAGCCUGGUUGAUCCAUAAACUAAACCCAUGGACUCAACCACAUGAAUUUGGAUCAUAUUUAAUUUUGAGUUAAAUUAAUCUCAUUUUUUGGCUCAAUUGAACUUAGCACAAGUGAAUAAUAUUUAAUUGGACCAAAACAAUUAACUUGAUCCAACGGUCAUAAUGAAAACAUGUGACAUUAUCAAAAUUGGCCCAUUUAUGUGUUUAAUUUUAAUUUGGAACACAUAUCAAUUUUUUUAAUUAGUCCUAAAUUCAAUUAUUUGUGUUUUCAUCAUUAAUUUAGUAAAUGAUGUGACAAUUUGUGAUUGACCUCAUAAUUUCCUUUUCAACAAAUGCCCCCUUUUUGAGAGAUUUAUGCAUGUAUGUGGGUGAAUGAAUAUCGAAAAAGAUAAAUUUGAAUUCAAAGUACGAGCAUUUUUUUUUAUCAAUUCAACAUAUAAAAUUAAUCAAAUUAUGAAUUUAGUACGUGAGUUUGAUUUAAAUUUGAAAUAAGGGUUGAAAUAUAACCAAACUUUAUUUAAUUUGAGAAAAGUUCAAGGUUUUAUUCACAAUUCAAUUUGAUUUGAGAAUAAAAAUUUAAAUUUGAUUUUUUUGAAAUAAAAUUUGGAACAUAGCCAAAUUUUAAUUUGAAAUAAGAAUGAGGUUUCUGUCAUACCUUAAUUUGUCUUGAGGAUGCAUAAGAAUUUAGAAUGACCAAUUUUUAAUUUGAAACAAUCUUGGGGUAAAGUUGGAUUUAUGGCUCCAAUUUAAAUUUGAGAUUAAAAAGGAGGCCAUAUAUACAAGUUAAUAUGACUUGGAUUUUAGACCCAAAUUUUAAUUUUAAAAUUGGUAAUAAAAUCUAAAAUCUAAAAUUUUGAAAUAUUAUAAUAUUUUAAUUAUCUCAAAAAUGAAAUUCAGGAUUUAUUCCAAAAAAUAUUAUUAUUAUUAUUUUAGAAAAUAAUAUAAUUGAAUGACCUUUUCUUUAUUAUUAAAAAAAAUUAAAUAUCAUUCAUAAUCCUUUUAUUAUUAAAAAAAAUUAAAUAUCAUUCAUAAUCCUGAUAGAAAUUGGAUUUGUUAUAUAAAAAUAGCUAAAUAUCAUUUAUAAUCCUUUUAGGAAUUAGAUUUGUUGGUUUUAUAAAUAGAUUCACAAUUUGAUCAUUCAUUCGUGAUCAAGCAAAAGAAAGAUAUGGAAAAAAAACUAAUAUUCUCUCUUUCUCUCUCUUUUUGUCUUCUUGUUCUUCUUUUACUUUUUUUUUUUUUUAAUUUUGUACCUUUUUCUUUAUAGGAAUUAAAGGUAAGAUUUUUUUUUGCUUUUUCUAAAUUGUUACAAGAGUGACUCUGCCCUGAUCCAACUUCUACUAGGAGACGAUCAGACAUUUGUUGUCAUAUUCACUUUCCUAGUAGGGGUGAUCGAGCAUCUUGGUUCUUCUUUGCCAUCAACAAUCCAACUUCUACUAGAGGAAGAUCGGGCAUUUUCUGUCAAAUCCACAUUCCUAGUAGGAACAACUAAGCAUCUUGAUUAUGCUUCGUUGCCACUGAUCCAACUUCUACUAGGGAUGAUCAGACAUUUGCCAUUACAUCCACCUCUCUAAUAGGAACGAUCAGGCAAUCUUAGUUCUAAUUCACCAUUAGCGAUCCAACUUCCACUAAAGGUAAAAUCUUCUUCUUCUUUUAUUUUUUGCAAUCGUUUGCAAGGUUUUUCUGUCGUGAGCGAUCCAACUUCUACUAGAGGACAAUUGGGCAUUUGCUGUCAGAUCCACCUUCCUAAUAGGAACGAUCAGACAUCUUGGUUUUGCUUCAUCGUCAUUAUAAAGGGACAAAACUACAACAUCUUCAUCUUGGAGGGGCAAAAGUAAAGUUGCAUCGUUCUCAUCUUCUUGAAGAAGUAGAAGCAGAGCUGUAUCUUCAUCGAUGAAGCCUUUGAGCUUGAAUUUUUUUUUUUUUUUUGCAUGCACUAAACUUGUAUAUAGCCUCACAUAAAGUAGUGUACAUCUUCUUGACCUGUAUCCUUCUUGUUGUUGUCUUUCACAGUGACAUUUCCUCGUAUCUCAUAAAUAUUCAUCCAAGAUCUGUACGGUUCGAAAGGAUUCCAACUUGCAUCCAUAUACAAACCUGACAACCUUGACAAAUUGCUUUGUUCCAAUAAGGUUUUGUACAAUGUCUCAUCAUAGGUUAUGUCCAUGUCUGGUUGGCUAUGGAGAAUGACUUCCAUGUUCAGGAGAUCUAUGAUCACCUUCAUGGAGGCAAAGCAGGCCAUGCAUUCCAGUAAACCUUGAAUUGUACCACUGAUUCAUUGGUGUCUCAUCUUGUACUCUUGGCUAUAAACUUGAGAACACAGGUCUAAUUUGGCAAGGUUGCUUUCGAGGGUGUCACUGAACUAUUUUAAAAAUUUUGAAACUUAUAUUUCUUUUGUACUUUUUGCAGUGUUGGAUGUUGCUAAUGGGGUUUGUCGAUAGGAGAAGGAUUUUUUUUUUUUUUUUUUUGGGAAUUGAUGGUGUUUUUGGGUGCGAAUGGUGUACAUCAGACUUCUCCCAAUUCGACAAAGCCUUAGCCAGAUUUGAGCAUUAUGCUUCAGUAUAAGCUUUAGAUGGUUGUGAUUUUGGAGUGAUCAAACUUGUUGGUUGGCCAUGGCUAUUGUAUUUUAACCAUCUCAUCUCUUCAAGUGAAACAACACGGGUUUCAAGUACUUGAGAUGAGAUUUCAUAACCGAGGUUACAAUCUGCAAUGGAUGAGAUUACCAACUUUAUAGCAUCACCUUAUUACUAGGGAUUAACAUCUUGAAUUUGGAGAUUUGCUCUCAAUUUGUUAUAAUUUUCUCAUAGAGGUGAACAUUCUUUCAAGAAUAGGAUCAAGUCAUAAAGUAGUUCAACUUUUUUUUUUUUUUCUAAACUGGACUUUAGGUUUUUCUUAAGCUGUCUACAUACCCUUUAUAAUAUAGGAAUCAAGUCAUAAUGUAGUUCAACCGAUGAUUUUUUUUUUUCAUUCACAUUUUAAGCUCUUGUGGGCUAGGAGAACCAUGUAGUUUAGGCUUUUGGGAUAAGGAGCUUUGAAUAUUUAACAACUCAUAUUUUCAUUAGGAAUUUGUUAACCUUUUUCAUUUGUAGAAUUGGUGAAUAUAAUAAGUCUUGGCUUAACCAUCAAAGAACCUUAUAUAUUUAUGUCAACAUACAACUUUCUCUUCAUGUGUGAUGGACAUGACUGUGAAUCUUCUCGUCCUUGUUUUCUUCAUGAAGUAGUUUUAUCUUCAAAGUUUUCAUCUUUUUUUUAUGUUUUUAGUAGUAGAUGUUGAAGCAGGCUGUCAAAGAAUCAAAGUUUUCAUCUCUUCAUAAGCAGAUGUUGAAGAAGGUAGAUCUUUCUUCAAUGUGAAGAUACUUAGCAUUUUGAAAGCUGAAGUUCGAGUGGUAGACAUUGGACAUUGAUUUUCUUUUUUUUUUUUUCGUGACCAUAACAAUCUUUGAAAGAUCGAGUAGUUGGAGGCUUGAAACGAUCAAAGACAGAAGUCCUUUGCUUAAUUUCAUUUGGAUUGUCAACUUCUUCAUAAUAUGCAUAAUGGUUGUGGACUUCUGCUCUGCUGGUAGCAUGACAUGCAGUUACUUGCAAUACUUCCUCUAGAUGAUCAUCAAGGAAGUUUCUUGGGAGGAAUUUUGUCAAAGUUAUAGUCCGUCGAGGUCGAAAGAAGUCCUCGUCCUUUCCUCAUCUUGUUUCUUUUCUCAUUCUAUUUAUAAGAGUUGCUUCAUUUUCCAUGCUUCUGAUGGAAGUGCAAUUCGUUUGAAUGGAGUUUGGUUAUCUCCCUUUUUUACGAGUUACGAUUGUUCAUCCUUUGCCAUAAUCUUCAACAUGCUUUUCUUUGUUUUGAGAGUUUGUCGUCAUGGUCCUUUGUUGAAACUGAACAACUAUAAGUUCAAAAGUCCCAAAUCGAAUCAAGCUUUUCCUUUGAUCAUAAAGUUAUAUGUUGAUGGUGGAACACUUGAAGUCAUCUCGAUUGCAACAUGAUUCGUCUGAGCUACUUCAUCCAUAUACAACUCGAUCUUCUUUUCACAAGCCAACUUUAGAAUCAGCUCCUUCAACAAGAAACGCUUUCCAACAGGAUGACUAAUGACUUGAUGGUACUUAUAGUAGUUAGGAUCAUCUACUUUUCUUGCUUUUUUUGGUCAUUUGCAUUCUGACAGUUGAAUAAGUUGUUUGUCUCACAGCUGCUCUAACAUGUCUGCAACAUAAAAGUUUGAAAAUGGAUAGAAAAAUUUCUAUCUUUCUUUAAGAGUUGGAUGAUGCUUCACUUUGCCAUCAUGCUUUCUUUCAAUUUGUUUCUUUUCUUCUGGAGAAAGACUUCAAUGGAGACUCGUGAAAUAAACUCAUUAAUGACACUAUUUGCAAUCUUUCUAUUGUCAUUGAUUUCAUUCUUUCCCUUUUUUACUUCAUAGAUUAAGAAAACUUUAGUUCCCUUAUUAAAGAUGCUCGACUCCAUGUCAUAGGCGCAAAUCACUAAUUCUUCAAAUGUACGGAGUUUUUUUCCUAUAAAAUAUAGAGAAGUUCCUAGUGCAUGCCUUGGGUGCACAUUCCACUAUUGAUAGUUCUGUGAGCUUGUUUUUGCAAUCCAAGCUUAAAGCCCAUCAGUUUAUGUAGUCAAUGACUAACUCUCCCUUUAGUUGUCUCGUGUUUGUAAGCUUUAUCAUGCUUACAGUGCGUUUGGUGCUAUAGAAGUAGUUGAGGAACUCCUUUUCCAGUUAUUUCCAGCGGUCAAUGACUUCUGGCUCUAGAUCAUUAUACCACUCAAAAGCAUUUCCUUUCAACCUCCGAAAGAACUAUAUGACUAGUUGAUCUCCUCUUGAUCCUGCCUUCUUGCAUGUUUCGACGAAAGGGAUGAUGUGUUGUUUUAGGUUGCCAUUUUCAUCGAAUUAUUGGAAUUUUAUAUGCUUGUACCCAAGUGACAUUCUCAAGUUGUCAAUUCUUUUGGUGUACGGCUUAGAGUACAUGAAAGAAAUUUGGGAUGACCUCCAUACUGAGCUCUGAUGGAGUUCGUAAUCAUAUCUUAUAAUUGCUAAAUUGAGAGAGAAAUCACAUAAGCUAAUUGUUGUUGUGGUUGAUUUUCUUGCACCACAUUCUUCCCUUUGUCACCAACUUUGACAACAGGAGUUUGACUCAAUUCAACGUUUCACGAGUGUGCAUUUUCUCUCUUAAAGCUGCGAUUUCGUGGUCUCGUUUAUCAACAACCUUCAUCAGAAGAUUAAUUUCUCUCUCCAUCUCCAUCAUGACAACCUCGACCGUUACAUCAGCCAUCAUGACAAACAUCACAUUAGGGUGUGCUUCUCUCUUUGACUUGCUAGAGGCAGAAUCAGAGACAUCAUAUUGAGGAUUUUUCUUAAUGACAAUUCCAUCCUUAAGAGACUCUAUCAAUUGCUUAAGGAUGCUCUGCGCGAUGACAUAACCUUGAUCCUGCUCUUGGAUGAUCCCCUUAGAAGGACGACUGAUGAUGGGUCCCUUGUAGGCAUCACUUACAAUAGAAGUUUUGGAUGCAACUUUCUUUGGUGCCAUUAGUUUACUUGUAGAUUUAGAUGACGAGAGAGAGAUGAGAGGUAGAGAUGUCCCACUGGAUGUGUCAAUUUGUUCACAUGGGAUUUUCGAAGAAAUUUGAUUUGUGGAGUUGAACUUGAGUUGAUGUUGUAUUUUUGUUGAUUUGAUUCGAUGUGGUUCGAUCUCUAGAAUUUAAUCAUCUGAUUCUCUCUCGGUUGAACAUUUACUCUUGAUUUGCAAUUGAGUCUUCUAGCUCUUGGGAGAAUUAUCUCUAGACCUUCUAGAGUCAAAAAAAGAAAAAAAAUUCACCCUUACAAAUGAGUAGAACUUCUCUAUUUAUAGAGUUCUCUGGUGGGCUUGAGCCUGAUUGGUCUAUGGACCAAACCUAUGAGCCCAACCAUAUGAAUUUGGGUCAUAUAUAGCUUUUGAGUUAAAAUUAAGCUCAUUUUUUUUUGCUCAAUUGAACUUAGCCAAAAUGAAAAUAUUUAAUUGGACCAAAACAAUUAAUUUGAUUCAACGAUCAUAAUGAAAACAUGUGACAUCGUUAAAAUUGACCAAUUUAUAUCCUCAAUUUUAAUUUGGAACACAUAUCAAAUUUUUUAAUUAGUCAUAAAUUCAAUUAUUGCAUUUUCAUUAUUAAUUUAGUAAAUGAUAUGCUAAUUUGUGAUUGGUCUUAAUAUUUCCUUUUCAACACUCAUAUAUAAAAUAAACUCUACAAAAUUACAUAGAAACAAAAUUUAGAAAUCACCUCAUUGAGAAAUUAAUGAAAUAGAUUAGAGAGUAAAACAAAAUAUUUUAUAGACAAAAAUAGAAGAAGAUGGAAAGUUUAGGAAAGAAAUUAAGAUUUAAAACAAUAUAUUAUUGUAUUUGAGUAACUUAUUAGAUAAUAAAAGUUUUACAAAAAAAAUCACCAACUAAAAUGUAACUUACGUUGAUUAGAAAAAGUGGCUUUUAACCUUUGAAUGAUUGAGGGCUGAGGGUGAGGGUAUAAUAAUAAAAUAAAAAAAAUAAAUAAAACUAAAAUGCAGUUGAGUGACACGUGGACAAUUCCCGCUACUGCCAAAACAACGGGACCACUAAAGGUUAAGUUCACAUGAAAUAUGAAGGUACAAUUGAGGGCAUCUCCGUAAUUUCAAUCCAAAGAUGCUUAAAUAGUCUUCUAAAUCUAAAAUUAAAAAAAGAAAAAGAAAAAGAAAAAAGGAAUUUGCAUCUCUGCACAGAGAAAAAAUGGCAGAGCCUCAAACUCGCGAAAAUUUAGCCCAAAAUCUAUCAUAUUGAGGAUUUUUCUUAAUGACAAUUCCAUCCUCAAGAGACUCUAUCAAUUGCUUAAAGAUGCUCUGCGCGAUGACAUAACCUUGAUCCUGCUCUUGGAUGAUCCCCUUAGAAGGACGGCUGAUGAUGGGUCCCUUGUAGGCAUCACUUACAACAGAAGUUUUGGAUGCAACUUUCUUUGGUGCCAUUAGUUUACUUGUAGAUUUAGAUGACGAGAGAGAGAUGAGAGGUAGAGAUGUCCCACUAGAUGUGUCAAUUUGUUCACAUGGGAUUUUCGAAGAAAUUUGAUUUGUUGAGUUGAACUUGAGUUGAUGUUGUAUUUUUGUUGAUUUAAUUCGAUGUGGUUCGAUAUCUAGAAUUUGAUCCCCUGAUUCUCUCUCGGUUGAACGUUUACUCUUGAUUUGAGGAAACAGAGCACGUAAUGUUCUUGAAGUUGAUUGAACGUCUACGCUUGAUUUGAGGAAGCGAAGCGCGUGAUGUUCUUGAAGUUGGUUGAACGCCUACACUUGAUUUGAGAAAACGAAACACGUGAUGUUAUUGAAGUUGGAGUCUUGGAAGAAAGCUUGUAUCUUUAAAGAAGCUUCAAUCUUUGAGGGUAGUCUACUUCAGGAGUUAUUGAGUCUUCUAGCUCUUGAGAGAAUUAUCUCUAGACCAUCUAGAGUCAAAAAAAAAUUUUAAGUAGAAAUUCUCUAUUUAUAGAGUUCUCUGGUGGGCUUGAGCGUGGUUGGUCCAUGGACCAAACCCAUGAGCCCAACCAUAUGAAUUUGGGUCAUAUAUAGCUUUUGAGUUAAAAUUAAGCUCAUUUUUUUUUGGCUCAAUUGAACUUAGCCAAAGUAAAAAUAUUCAAUUGGACCAAAACAAUUAACUUGAUUCAAUCGUAAAACAUGUCGCAUCAUUAGAAUUGACCAAUUUAUAUCCUCAAUUUUAAUUUGGGACACAUAUCAAUUUUUUAAUUAGUCAUAAAUUCAAUUAUUUACAUUUUCAUUAUUAAUUUAGUAAAUGAUAUGCUAAUUUGUGAUUAGUCUUAAAAUUUCUUUUUCAAUACUCAUAUAUAAAAUAAACUCUACAAAAUUAGAUAUAAACAAAAUUUAGAAAUCACCCCAUUGAGAAGUUAAUGAAAUAGAUUAGAGAGUAAAACAAAAUAUUUUAUAGACAAAAAUAGAAGAAGAUGGAAAGUUUAGGAAAGAAAUUAAGAUUUAAAACAAUAUAUUAUUGUAUUUGAGUAACUUAUUAGAUAAUAAAAGUUUUACAAAAAAAAUCACCAACUAAAAUGUAACUUACGUUGAUUAGAAAAAGUGGCUUUUAACCUUUGAAUGAUUGAGGGCUGAGGGUGAGGGUAUAAUAAUAAAAUAAAAAAUAAAUAAAACUAAAAUGCAGUUUAGUGACACGUGGACAAUUCCCGCUACUGCCAAAACAACGGGACCACUAAAGGUUAAGUUCACAUGAAAUAUGAAGGUACAAUUGAGGGCAUCUCCGUAAUUUCAAUCCAAAGAUGCUUAAAUAGUCUUCUAAAUCUAAAAUUAAAAAAAGAAAAAGAAAAAGAAAAAAGGAAUUUGCAUCUCUGCACAGAGAAAAAAUGGCAGAGCCUCAAACUCGCGAAAAUUUAGCCCAAAAUCUAUCAUAUUGAGGAUUUUUCUUAAUGACAAUUCCAUCCUCAAGAGACUCUAUCAAUUGCUUAAAGAUGCUCUGCGCGAUGACAUAACCUUGAUCCUGCUCUUGGAUGAUCCCCUUAGAAGGACGGCUGAUGAUGGGUCCCUUGUAGGCAUCACUUACAACAGAAGUUUUGGAUGCAACUUUCUUUGGUGCCAUUAGUUUACUUGUAGAUUUAGAUGACGAGAGAGAGAUGAGAGGUAGAGAUGUCCCACUAGAUGUGUCAAUUUGUUCACAUGGGAUUUUCGAAGAAAUUUGAUUUGUUGAGUUGAACUUGAGUUGAUGUUGUAUUUUUGUUGAUUUAAUUCGAUGUGGUUCGAUAUCUAGAAUUUGAUCCCCUGAUUCUCUCUCGGUUGAACGUUUACUCUUGAUUUGAGGAAACAGAGCACGUAAUGUUCUUGAAGUUGAUUGAACGUCUACGCUUGAUUUGAGGAAGCGAAGCGCGUGAUGUUCUUGAAGUUGGUUGAACGCCUACACUUGAUUUGAGAAAACGAAACACGUGAUGUUAUUGAAGUUGGAGUCUUGGAAGAAAGCUUGUAUCUUUAAAGAAGCUUCAAUCUUUGAGGGUAGUCUACUUCAGGAGUUAUUGAGUCUUCUAGCUCUUGAGAGAAUUAUCUCUAGACCAUCUAGAGUCAAAAAAAAAUUUUAAGUAGAAAUUCUCUAUUUAUAGAGUUCUCUGGUGGGCUUGAGCGUGGUUGGUCCAUGGACCAAACCCAUGAGCCCAACCAUAUGAAUUUGGGUCAUAUAUAGCUUUUGAGUUAAAAUUAAGCUCAUUUUUUUUUGGCUCAAUUGAACUUAGCCAAAGUAAAAAUAUUCAAUUGGACCAAAACAAUUAACUUGAUUCAAUCGUAAAACAUGUCGCAUCAUUAGAAUUGACCAAUUUAUAUCCUCAAUUUUAAUUUGGGACACAUAUCAAUUUUUUAAUUAGUCAUAAAUUCAAUUAUUUACAUUUUCAUUAUUAAUUUAGUAAAUGAUAUGCUAAUUUGUGAUUAGUCUUAAAAUUUCUUUUUCAAUACUCAUAUAUAAAAUAAACUCUACAAAAUUAGAUAUAAACAAAAUUUAGAAAUCACCCCAUUGAGAAGUUAAUGAAAUAGAUUAGAGAGUAAAACAAAAUAUUUUAUAGACAAAAAUAGAAGAAGAUGGAAAGUUUAGGAAAGAAAUUAAGAUUUAAAACAAUAUAUUAUUGUAUUUGAGUAACUUAUUAGAUAAUAAAAGUUUUACAAAAAAAAUCACCAACUAAAAUGCAAUUGAGUGACACGUGGACAAUUCCCGCUACUGCCAAAACAACGGGACCACUAAAGGUUAAGUUCACAUGAAAUAUGAAGGUACAAUUGAGGGCAUCUCCGUAAUUUCAAUCCAAAGAUGCUUAAAUAGUCUUCUAAAUCUAAAAUUAAAAAAAGAAAAAGAAAAAGAAAAAAGGAAUUUGCAUCUCUGCACAGAGAAAAAAUGGCAGAGCCUCAAACUCGCGAAAAUUUAGCCCAAAAUCUAUCACUUUCACCACUCUCCCGCUCCUCUUUCUCCCCCGCCGCCGUCGAUCCAGAUCCUGUCGACCCUCCCCUAUCACCACCAGCCGUUGCCGUCCUGGAGGAUCCGGAUUUGAUUCGAGAACCUAAACGCCGAAAGCACUGUCCAACGGCUUUGGAGAAUCUUGACGAAUUGACGUCCGCCUCCAACUCCAGCUUUGCCUUCACCUUCGACACGAAAUUCUGCGGAUUCUCAGCAGAGAUCACUCCGAAAUUUGGAUCGUUCAACUCAAUCGCACCGGAAAUGGAGAGGAAUCAAAAGAAAGCAGAGAGGGAAGUGAGAGUAGAGGAAGAAGAAAGCGUACAUAAAGUUGAAGAAGAAGAAGAAGAAGAAAUUGGAAUUGCAGAUGCGUUGCUAGAAGCAAUUAAUGAAGAAGAAGAAAGAAAUUGAUUGUAAUGUUGAAAAUUUCUCUUCUCUAUCUCUGUGUUUCUCUUUGCGAUAUGAAAUUAUUGAUGUAGUUGAAAAUUAGGGUUUGAAUGAAAGGGGGGAAAGGGAAUUGAAUUGGAAUAUUGAAGAGGAAUUAUUGAUGAAGAUUAUUAAUGGAAUGGAUUGAAUGAAUGUUUUUUGAUUGAGUUAUUAAAAUUAAAAUGAUGAUGAUGAUGAUGAUGAUUAAUAUUUAAUUUAAGAGUGAAUGAAUUUGGAGAAAAGUGUUGUUUUAGCAUUGGAAAGAGUCAGCCAACCACUAGCUUUUGCCCUUUCACAGCCACACGUGCAUUGUUCAUUUUUUUAUCUUUUAUUCUUCAAAAUACUUUAUGAAUUUCUUCUUUACUGCAAUCAAUUUUACUUCUUUUUCUCCUUCACACUUCCUUUUUCUUCCAUCUUUCUAUUUUGGUUUAAAUGUAGGCAAAACUACUUUUUCCUUUUUUCUAAUUUUAGUUUUUUAU
rnacentral:lncRNA from 1 species